rnacentral:rRNA from 1 species
CCUACGGGAGGCAGCAGUGGGGAAUAUUGGGCAAUGGAGGAAACUCUGACCCAGCGACGCCGCGUGCGGGAUGAAGGCCUUCGGGUUGUAAACCGCUUUCAGUAGGGAAGAAGCGAAAGUGACGGUACCUACAAAAGAAGCACCGGCUAACUAUGUGCCAGCAGCCGCGGUAAUACAUAGGGUGCAAGCGUUGUCCGGAAUUAUUGGGCGUAAAGAGCUCGUAGGUCGUUUGUUACGUCGGAUGUGAAAACCUGAGGCUCAACCUCAGGCCUGCAUUCGAUACGGGCAAACUAGAGUUUGGUAGGGGAGACUGGAAUUCCUGGUGUAGCGGUGGAAUGCGCAGAUAUCAGGAGGAACACCAAUGGCGAAGGCAGGUCUCUGGGCCAAUACUGACACUGAGGAGCGAAAGUCUGGGGAGCGAACAGGAUUAGAUACCCUGGUAGUCCAGACCGUAAACGGUGGGCACUAGUUGUGGGAACCUUCCACGGUUUCUGCGACGCAGCUACGCAUAGUGCCCGCCGUCGGGAGGUACGAGUCGCGAGAGUAAACUACAANAGAGUAAGUAGCGUUGAGAGUUGCGACGGCGACGACGAGGGAGGAGG